CCCGAAUAACCCGAUCGAGAAGCAAGGAAGAAUUUUAUAUACUGUAAAAUGGUGGACAUUUUUUGUCAAACCUACCUUUAUUGGAAGGUAAUAUGCUUUAUUUAAUAUCAAUCCUUGUAGUAAAGUACUUAGGUUACCAAUAUAGAUGAAAAUUUAGGACAACGAACCCGAAUUUAAUGUGAUAUUUCGACAUAAACUUUGUGCUUUUGCUUUGCACGUGGUUCGCUUUAUGGGCGAUUGUCGAAGUUUAAACCGUGUUUUAAUUCAUAAUUAUUGUCGACCAUGUGAGUUAAAAGAGUAACUGAGAUCUAGAAUUGUUUAAGUUGUCUAAAAAAGUUGUUAUCUCUGAGUUUUUGCCGAAACUUUUUAUAUUAAAUCAAUGCCGUAUUGGCAUACGGCCCGUAUGCCCGUAUUUUAAUAAAGGAUGAAUAUAAUUUAUUUCAUCAGCUUGCAUGUAUUAAAUAGGUUAGCACUUUUUUCCAUCCAGCAAACCGCUCUAUCGAUUUUCUAAAGUCUUUUUAAAUUUUUUUUAUUAAUUCGGUUAGGGUUAUAGUUAGGGUUGUGGUUAGGGUUAGGGUUAGGGGUUAGAGUAGGUGUAAGGUUUGGGUUAUGCACCUAUCAAUGUAAAUCCUGUGGGGGGGGGAGGCCGGGACUAGCGAGGGGAUUUGACAAAAAUGUGAGAAAACUAAUCAAAUGCCUGCAGGGGGGAGAAAAUUCCGGUCAAAUAAAGGUAACUUUCUGCAUAUUUUAAGCUUUUUAAAGGGUGACUUUUAGUGCCGAAUUUUACAUUUCUGCUCCGAAUUUGCGAUAAUCCCAACCGGAAAUACGACAAAAACUUGUCAAAACAAUGCCACGCUUAUAUCGCGUGACUCUGGAAAUGGAUUUUACAGGUCAAAGUUAGGCUUGGGCGGUUUACCGGUUUUUCGGGGUUUUUUUGUUUUAUUUUCAAACCGGUUUUUUCGGUUUAACUUUUACAAAAACCGGAAAACUGUCAUUACGAAAUUGUUUACUGUCAACGCCCGAAACUCGAUCCUAAUUUUCAAAACAUGACACUAAUUAAACACAAUUACAUGACACUAGAUACAAAUUAUAUUCUUUUUCCGUAAAGUCGGUAAGAACUAAAGAGGUAUAAGUUUUCAAAUGCGUUCUUGACCCUUUUAUUUUAAAACUGAAGUCGUUUUAGGUUACCUUUACACAAUUUUGCGUUUUGUCAUGUUCUGUUUGUUUGCUUAUGUCAAAAAAAUACCACAAUUCCUCCUCAUUCAGUUGAAAUAGAAAUUAAAGGGAAAAAACUGGUUUUACCGGUUUAGAAUCAGACGGUUUUUCGGUUUUGAUUUUAAGCAAAACUGCCCAAGCCUAGUUAAAGUGCACCCAUACAUGUGAGUUUGACGUCAUCCCGGCUAAAGGGCGCUCCUUAUUGGCCAAGUAUUACGUAAUACAAGUGCGUGCGAGUAAAACCCGAUACUUUAAAAAUUCAAAAUAAAUAUUUCUACUCGUUGUAUUCAUACAAAACUUUCUACACAAAAGCGCUUGAAUACAAAGAGUAUUUUACACAGUCAUAUAGCCUUUCAGAAAAUGACGAAAAGUUUAGAAGAUAUUCGACUUUUCUCUUUUUCUCGUUUGAAUGUUUGGCGAAGCAGUGAGUAUAAAUAUAUGAUUGUUUCGGUUUGUGUAAUGUUUUGACGGCACUUGACCCCCCGUUCGAAAGGUUAUUUUGUGAGGAUUACAAUGGUGGGUUUUGUUUUAACGGGGGGUAAAUACUCGCCGCGAUAUUUACAUUAGAAAAAUUGAAUUGUAAUGUAAUUCGAAACUACUUGUCGACAAGGAGUUAAAAACACCAAUUUACUUAUAAACAUUGAGCAAAGCAAGGGAAAAUCAUUUUUAAUAAUAUGAAUUGACAUGAACAUAAAGGUCAGUUCACACUGGAGGUGAUGCUACAAUGCGACGCUAUUUUCUGAUUUUCAUAAACAGAUAACUUUGAUUAAAUUUAAACUUGACAUUAAUACAAUUACGUAAAAACCACUGUAAAACCUUUGCAAACAGCACUUUCAACUACGCUCAGAGGACCACACUGGAUUUAAAUUUUACGCAUCACUGCUCAUGCGCAUUAAUAAGUUCAACCUGGAUGGAAAUUGAACUGCCCCGUCCUAGGGACAGGCAAGUUAGAAAAUGUCUCCGGGAGGGGAUGAGUUUUGUCAUCAAAUCCCCUAUAUUGUCCCAGCCUCUCCCACGGGGUUUACAUUGAUAUGUGUAUUAGUUAUAUAGCCAUUUAACACCUCUUCUAUCUUCCAAAAAUGACGUCAGCAGGGCUUUCCUCUGGGGCGCACGAUCGCACAUGCCCAGAUGAAUCUGGGCGUGUGAUUUAUCACACACAAAUUUGAUUUUUAAGGAUAAAUACAAUUUGACACGCAGUGAAUUAAGAUAUAAUGUAACAAAACCAAAUAUAAUUUGACACUUUAGAACUUUACAUUAUUUAACAGAGAGCGCAAUAUUAUCGGUAUUCUUCCAAAGUUAGGGUGUUUAUAAUUGAAGAUGGCCACCAAAGGCAAUAAGGUCGAUCUGGCAACUUUUAUGAAGUGGGGGGAAAUGGUGUUAUUGGCUAGAAGAAGAUCAACGCAAUGAAAAUGCUUUAUUUCAGCAUCCAAAAUGCAAAGGGCCUGUUAAGAAGUCAAUCAAAUUGUAUAUUGAGGGAACAAGCUUUGUGAACAAGCACAGUCAAUCGGCAUCUGGAGAGCAAAGGCCAUCGCAAUAGAAAGCAUGCGGCUUGCGGGUGAAAGAGCAAAACUUUUCAAUAAAAGUUAUAAAUACACCUGACAUUUGUUUUUUUAUUGUUAUUUAAUUAUAGUGGCGAUUUACAAGUAAAUUUUACACGAUUUUUAGCGGUUUGCAACUUCCAAUUUACAUAGCAAAACAUGCUCAGGGUUUUUUUUUAAUGAAAGAGCUCUGAUUUUACUAUAUAGCUGUUUAAUCAUUUGCAAACUCUGAACCUGAAUUUUUCCGUGUGCUUUCAUUUGAUUCUGAUUUUAUAACUUUACUUAUAGUUAUUCAUAAGUGAAAUUCUAUUUAUAAUAGAGCCUUAAUUAAAGUAAGUUUAAGGAGGCUCCCUACAGUUGUUUGCGGGACCAGUAUGUGUCUAUCCCAUGCAACCGCAUGAUCAAAACAAAACAAAAAUUGGCCUUGCUUUUUUUUAAAAAAAGCUAUUUAUGAAAGGUUUCUAAUGGAAAAAAGCAUUGAAUAAUACUUUGUUUUGAGUGCCAAAUCACUUGCAAGUCUAUACAGCAAUUCUACAUAUGAUAUGAAUAUCACUUAGACCAAAAAUAGCUACGAAACAAUGUUUUUUUAAUUUUUUUAAAAUAUACACUGUCAACUAUAAAACAUUUGCAGAAUUGCAAACAAACGUUUCAGUUUCAUAGCAUAUAAAUUGUUCAUUUUUAGCAAGAAGUACAAAACCAAACAUGAAACAAAAAAACAUGUCCACCUGUAGGCUGUUGCAGCUCAUAGAUUGAGUAAACCGCAGGGUUCAAUUAGCUUCAACCUUGUAUAGAGGUUUUGUUGUUUUCAUCGAUUUGAUCCUUCACAAUAAUCCUUGGCUGUCCAUGGCACUCAAAUAAAUCGAAAAGUUGACAAAAACAAAACUGUAGAAACAACAUUGCCGCUUGAUUUUGCGGAAUGAAAGCUCGUUCUGCGCCCGCGUACAAUCUUUUACUAGUCAGCGACGCUUUUCAAUAAGGGGAAUUUCUCGAGUUGCACGAGGCUAUUUUCUAACUUUAUUUGCAUUUUACUCAUUAGUUUCAUUGGUGACCUAUCUUCAAAUUUUGACCACAAGUUUAUUUGCGGGAAAUUUUGUAAAUUUCAAUUUUUAAAAAAAUCUUUAGUGUGGAAAUUUUGCAAUAAAAUUUUCGCUUUUAAAAAAAUCACACACCACAGAAUUUUUUUAAACUUUCACCACAGUUGCAGAGCAUCAUUCCCUAUUGAUAUAUGAAAUAAAAAAGAUAGGUCACCAACAUCGUUUCUGAGAUAGCGGCACAUUUAUGGGUUAAAUUGGAAGGCUUUAUGCUGUUGUCAUGUUGCCAUGGGAACAUUGACGUUGUCGACAAGAAUAACUGUAGGGAGCCAUGCACCUAUUACUGUUUUGUCUAGGUCAAUGAGUGUGUGUAAAAUAAACUUCUAAUAAUCGCACACACAGUUUGCCCACGCGAUUGUCUGCGCACACAAUUUUCUGAGUUGGAAAGCCCUGUCUUAUGUCAGUUUGCUGGAUGGAAAAUAGUGCUAACCCUUGUAUUAUUUCAAUUGUGCGAAAAAUAUUUAACAAUGGUGUUUUUGUAAUUUUGUUAAUUUAUAUGCAGAAAAAGCUUUGCAUUAGCAACAUUACAACAGCAACAUUACAACAGCAACAUUACAACGUAUUUGAUUCUUGCUUGCAAAACAAUUUCAAUUACAAAUAAACUGAAAAUGCUUGAAAAUGCUAGAAUAAAAUGAAAAUGCUGAAAUCACAAUGUAAACUGGUGUAAAUUUUGAUUGGUGGGGUUCUCGGUAAGGCAUGUACUAAAAGGCGAAAACAUCGAAACAAAACGAUCAAAACGAAAAGGCCGAAACCACUGAAAAUAUACCCUGGUUCCAGAGGUUCUUUGCAAGGCGAGAGAAAUGAGUGGCGAGAAGGAAGAGCCUCUGAUCAUAUCGGUUGCAAAUCCCACUUCCACACUUGAUUAGGUUCAGAAUUUGAAUCUUGCAUUGCAUGUCAAACUGCUUUGGGAAAUAAACAUACAUUUACUGUACACUAAUUAUAUGGUAUCUAUUAUAACUAUAAUUAGCUUAAAGUAAUGGUUAUUUCCCAAACCACUUUGACAUAUUUUUACAAAUGGCAAUGCAAAAUUCAAAUUCUGAACCUAUAAUCAAGUGUUGAAAUGGGAUUCGCAACCAAUGUGACCAGAGGCUCUCCCUUCUCGCCUUUCGUUUCUUUCACCUCACAAAGAACCAGGGUACUGAAAAUAUAAAUUACAGAAACAAUUACAAAAAUAUAUAUAUAUACCGAGUUUUUUAUCUCACUAGCCAAGCUAUUCACACCCUCAGUAAAAUUCUCAUUUUUUUUGUAGAUGUGCAGUGCAAGUUCCAAGAAUGUUGCAAGACCGGUCCCAUGGUUAUGAAAAAUGAACACAUUUCAAGAUCCUGAAUAAGAGGUAAAUGAUUUUUUUUUCUAAUUAUUUCUAACCUUAUUGUAUUUCUUGGACAAUUUUCUUUGUAAUAUAUUGUAUUGUGUUCUCAAUAGUGAUUCUUUUAAAUUUUCUAGAUGUGUAUUGCAAUUUCAAAGAGUGGACAUCUCAAGCUGUAGGCUGAAGUGUUUUUGAUCACAAAAAUGAACACUGUCAUUGGAAAGUAUAUAAAAGGUCUUACAGGGUAAUAUUUUUAUCUUAAUUAACAUGACAUGUUUUGAACAUUAUAUGAUUGCCUGUGAUUCAGUGGCAUAAUGGAACCUCCUGAGCCCUAACACCAAAACACCCUCCAGUUUUGUCAUUGCUGUGAUCAAUAGUUUUAAAAAUCCCAGUGCUCAGAAUAUUGCAAAAAUAGCAUGUUGCUUGUGAC